GAUGAACGCUGGCGGCGUGCUUAAGACAUGCAAGUCGAACGGGGCGCGGGGAGCAAUCCCAGUGCCCAGUGGCGAAUGGGUGCGUAACACGUAGGUGACCUACCCGGAAGCGGGGAAUAACUCUCCGAAAGGAGGGCUAAUACCGCAUGCGGUCUUGGGACUUAGACGCCCCCAGACCAAAGCCGGCUCGCAAGAGCGGGCACUUCCGGAGGGGCCUGCGGCCCAUCAGCUAGNGGUCGGGUAACGGCCGACCAAGGCGAUGACGGGUAGGGGACCUGAGAGGGUGGCCCCCCACAUUGGCACUGACACACGGGCCAAACUCCUACGGGAGGCAGCAGUCGGGAAUAUUGCCCAAUGGACGAAAGUCUGAGGCAGCAACGCCGCGUGCGCGAAGAAGGCCGUUC
rnacentral:rRNA from 1 species